GACGAGCGCUGGCGGCGUGCUUAACACAUGCAAGUCGAACGGAAAGGCCCUGCUUUUGUGGGGUGCUCGAGUGGCGAACGGGUGAGUAACACGUGAGUAACCUGCCCUUGACUUUGGGAUAACUUCAGGAAACUGGGGCUAAUACCGGAUAGGAGCUCCUGCUGCAUGGUGGGGGUUGGAAAGUUUCGGCGGUUGGGGAUGGACUCGCGGCUUAUCAGCUUGUUGGUGGGGUAGUGGCUUACCAAGGCUUUGACGGGUAGCCGGCCUGAGAGGGUGACCGGCCAAAUUGGGACUGAGAUACGGCCCAGACUCCUACGGGAGGCAGCAGUGGGGAAUAUUGCACAAUGGGCGGAAGCCUGAUGAAGUAACGCCGCGUGCGGGAUGACGGCCUUCGGUUUGUAAACCGCUUUCGCCUGUGACGAAGCGUGAGUGACGGUAAUGGGUAAAGAAGCACCGGCUAACUACGUG
rnacentral:rRNA from 1 species